rnacentral:rRNA from 1 species
UGCAUGAAGUCGGAAUUGCUAGUAAUCGCGGAUCAGCAUGCCGCGGUGAAUACGUUCCCGGGCCUUGUACACACCGCCCGUCACACCAUGAGAGCCGUCAAUGCCCGAAGUCCGUAGCCUAACCGAAAGGAGGGCGCGGCCGAAGGUAGGAUUGGCGACUGGGGUGAAGUCGUAACAAGGUAGC